CCAGACUCCUACGGGAGGCAGCAGUGAGGAAUAUUGGUCAAUGGGCGGGAGCCUGAACCAGCCAAGUCGCGUGAGGGAAGACGGUCCUAUGGAUUGUAAACCUCUUUAGGCGGGGAGCAAUGCCGGGCACGCGUGCCCGGAGGGAGAGUACCCGCAGAAUAAGCAUCGGCUAACUCCGUGCCAGCAGCCGCGGUAAUACGGAGGAUGCGAGCGUUAUCCGGAUUUAUUGGGUUUAAAGGGUGCGUAGGCGGAUUUUUAAGUCAGCGGUAAAAAUGCGGAGCUCAACUCCGUCGAGCCGUUGAAACUGCCGUUCUUGAGUGAGCGAGAAGUAUGCGGAAUGCGUGGUGUAGCGGUGAAAUGCAUAGAUAUCACGCAGAACUCCGAUUGCGAAGGCAGCAUACCGGCGGCGAUCUGACGCUGAGGCACGAAAGCGUGGGUAUCGAACAGGAUUAGAUACCCCAGUA
rnacentral:rRNA from 1 species